rnacentral:lncRNA from 1 species
GGGAAAAAACACAGGACCAGCUGAGUUAGUUAACUAACGUUACCAGUUUCAGUUGUUUGUUAAUGUGGAAUUUCUCUGUUAAUGUGAAAGGCAGAGCUGCUGAAGCUGCAUACAGGAGUCUACAGGGUGAGCCUCAGAAACAUCUCAGCCGACGGUUUGCGCAGACAUUGAUGUUGAAGAGAGGCCAUUCCUGUGAAUCAGCUGACUGUGCUUUCAAGACAAGGAAAGGGGUGGAUUCUGAUGUGAGCUCUUAAGGAUGGAGGGUCUCCGUGGGCCCGGAAUGAUUGGGCACAUGGCAGGAAUUCUCUUUGGACAGGAUGCUGGACUUUCACAGGUACCACAAACACAUCCUCACACCCACAUCUUAAAACAGUCAACUGGGAUUUUUGAGCGAUUCAAAAU